rnacentral:rRNA from 1 species
AAUGCUCAGCAAUGUGUUUCCUGCCUCGCGUAUCGAUGGAAAGCUCAGCGAAUCGCGCUAAGGGUUCUGGGAUGCAGACUUCAGUGAACCGUCAUAUUUCUGAACGCAUAUGGCGAAGUACAGGUUUCAGGGGAGCUCGCCUGUUUUAGCGGCC